GCACUAGGAUGACUGAAGUUUAAAGAGGGUGGAAGAAAGUUUCAAGAGUCAGGGAGAGCAAGGAGGGGCAGGGGAGUGGGACUGGCUCCAGAACGCAGGGCCGAGAGAGGCCCUCGGUGCGGCGGCCCUAGCAAGGAAAAAACUUGGAUAGAAGAGCUGCCGAACUCCCCGAGUUCCUGUUGGGAAAGGAAAUGGCAAUCCACUCCGGUGUUCUUGCCUGGAGAAUCUCAUGGACGGAGAGGCCUGGUGGGCUGCAGUCUAUGGGGUUGCAAAGAGUUGGACACAACUAAGCAGGACACAAUUAAGUUGGACACAACUAAGUAUCCAUGAGGAGGGCUGUCAACAUUCCAUCCUGGAAAACCUUUACUAAGAUCGAUGUUUCCACAAAGCCUCCUCUUUUGACCCUCUCAUUCUUCAUUCCAAAACAAUGGACUCACAUCACCCAGAAUUCCACUUUGCUGUGGUAAUGAAACUCAGACAUCUGAUUUACCUUUGUAACUCUCAAAUAGCUUUAUUGCUUGGAAAUCAACUCAUCCUCAUUUAUUUUCCCUUUCUGUUACUUUCAGCUUAAAUACACAUAAAGAACUCUUCUUUCCUAUAGCUAUCCACAGGAAGUAAGUAUUUUAAAACUAUUGAAUCAAAUGUCUUGGUGUGUAGGGAAUUAUGUUUUUGCAGACUCUUGAUGAUUAAGGUUUCUAAGAAUGCCAGUGGCCAUUAGAGGUUUUUUUCUUUUCCCUACUAAAAUAGACCCAACUUCAGGAAAAUUUGAGAGAAGUGUAAGGCUGGGCUAACCUGACUUUUACACACAGGCAACGUAGUCAAGCAGACUGUGUGAGUUCAAAUUCUGGUUCCUAUAGUUACUUGUCAUGUAAACUUGUAUAGGUUACUUUAAUUCUUUGUGUCUUGUCUGUAAAAUGAGAUUCUAAAAGCACCUACCGCAAAGGGUUACUCUGAGGAGUAAAAGACACUUGGAACAAUGCCCUGAACAUAAUGAAUGCUCAAUAAGUGUUAGUGGUGCUUGUGUUGUUAUCACUGAUAUUAAAAAUUUCAUACCAUGUUAGCACAGAAAUGAGAAGCAAUUUGAUUUAAGAGGGAUAAGUAUCAAUCAUGGCUUGGUUCCUGAAAAAUGUCACUAAUACUUGUUUAAAAGAAAAUAGGAUACUUAUUAGUCUGACUCCAAAUUAAAAGGAGAAAAUUCCUUUCUGUCUCAAGCUACUUAAAAAAAAUCUUUAUUUGUUUAUUUAUUUAUGGCUAUUCUGUAUGGCAUGUAGUUCUCUGACCAGAGAUCAAAUCUGUGCCCCCUUCCAUGGAAGAGUCCUGACCACUGGACCAGCAGGGAAUUCCCUAAAGCUACUUCUUAAUGCUAAGAAAG
ensembl:lncRNA